UAGAUAAAAACAAACGGAGGAAGUAGCAAACACCAUGCCUGAAAUUUGUAAAGCUAGAUCAAUUUUGCACAUCUAAGAGAGAAAUUGAAACAAAUGGAAUGUAGCAAAGUGAUGAGUGCUGAAUAUGGAAAUUGUUAGAACAGCACACUUCCUUUUAACAUGAUGGAGUUGCAAAAUUUACCACGGUUCUAUGGUCAACUAAAGGAGACUAAUUUCAUUUAUCAAAGGACAGGAGACUUUCCAUGCCUCAAGACUUUAAAAGCUGAAAUUGGAAAUAAGAUGCAGAGAACCAUUCAUAAAGUGUAAACAUGAAACUGAUAUUUACAAUGUUCUUUAGAGCUAUAACUCUAGCCCUUAAGAUUACAUUACACUACUAUUGCUUGCUAAUUCUACUAUCAACAGUAAACAGUAAAAGAGAGAAGAUUCAGGACUAAGAGUGAUUUUUGUAGUUUGCUGUGGAUUAAAU